CUAGCUCUUUCCUAUAUUGUCCUGUACUCAAGGUUUUAAAAGUAUGCAAGUUCUUUCCCAGUCCUCUAGAUAGUAGUUAAAACUGGAUCGAAUUGCAAGCAAGAUGGUAGUCAAAUCGUGGAUUCUAGGAUUCUUUUUCAAAUUUCUAAAACCAUUGUGAAACUUACCCAAAAAAUAGAAAAUAAAGAGGUUAGAAACUUGCAAAUCCAUCUUGAUUUCAUGCAUAUACAUUAACUAAUCUACAAUCAAUAUUCCCAAUGUCCACUUGUCCACUCCAUAACAGGAUGCAUGGUACAUACAUGUAAAAGCAUUAAUAGAUCAUCACAAAUUCACAAUUCACAAACAAGACAACUAAA